CCCUAACCAACAGUGAUCUUUAAGUAAAAAAUAGGUAUUAGGUGAACAAUAGAUAAGUAAAGAAAUAAAAAAACAACAGUAAAAAGACAGUGAAUAAUAACAGUAGCGGGCUAUAUACAGUAGAGAGGCUAUAUACAGUAGAGAGGCUAUAUACAGUAGUGAGGCUAUAUACAGUAGUGAGACUAUAUACAGUAGAGAGGAUAUAUACAGUAGAGAGGCUAUAUACAGUAGUGAGGUUAUAUACAGUAGAGAGGAUAUAUACAGUAGAGAGGCUAUAUACAGUAGAGAGGCUAUAUACAGUAGUGAGGUUAUAUACAGUAGCGGGGCUAUAUACAGUAGAGAGGAUAUAUACAGUAGAGAGGAUAUAUACAGUAGAGAGGAUAUAUACAGUAGAGAGGCUAUAUACAGUAGUGAGGCUAUAUACAGUAGUGAGGCUAUAUACAGUAGAGAGGAUAUAUACAGUAGAGAGGCUAUAUACAG
ensembl:lncRNA